rnacentral:rRNA from 1 species
AGCGAACGCUGGCGGCAUGCCUAACACAUGCAAGUCGAACGAGACCUUCGGGUCUAGUGGCGCACGGGUGCGUAACGCGUGGGAACCUGCCCUUAGGUUCGGAAUAACUCCCCGAAAGGGGUGCUAAUACCGGAUAAUGUCUUCGGACCAAAGAUUUAUCGCCUUUGGAUGGGCCCGCGUUGGAUUAGCUAGUUGGUAGGGUAAAAGCCUACCAAGGCGACGAUCCAUAGCUGGUCUGAGAGGAUGAUCAGCCACACUGGGACUGAGACACGGCCCAGACUCCUACGGGAGGCAGCAGUGGGGGAUAUUGCACAAUGGGCGAAAGCCUGAUCCAGCAAUGCCGCGUGAGUGAUGAAGGCCUUAGGGUUGUAAAGCUCUUUUACCCGGGAUGAUAAUGACAGUACCGGGAGAAUAAGCUCCGGCUAACUCCGUG